GAUGAACGCUGGCGGCGUGCCUAAUACAUGCAAGUCGAGCGAACAGACGAGGAGCUUGCUCCUCUGACGUUAGCGGCGGACGGGUGAGUAACACGUGGAUAACCUACCUAUAAGACUGGGAUAACUUCGGGAAACCGGAGCUAAUACCGGAUAAUAUAUUGAACCGCAUGGUUCAAUAGUGAAAGACGGUUUUGCUGACACUUAUAGAUGGAUCCGCGUCGCAUUAGCUAGUUGGUAAGGUAACGGCUUACCAAGGCGACGAUGCGUAGCCGACCUGAGAGGGUGAUCGGCCACACUGGAACUGAGACACGGUCCAGACUCCUACGGGAGGCAGCAGUAGGGAAUCUUCCGCAAUGGGCGAAAGCCUGACGGAGCAACGCCGCGUGAGUGAUGAAGGUCUUCGGAUCGUAAAACUCUGUUAUUAGGGAAGAACAAAUGUGUAAGUAACUAUGCACGUCUUGACGGUACCUAAUCAGAAAGCCACGGCUAACUACGUG
rnacentral:rRNA from 1 species